AUAUUAUCUAAGUUCUAUCUGUUCUUAUCAGCUUGAUCUCUGAUAUGUCCUCGCUGUGAGGACUGUAUGUUAGCUCGAUUUUUGAAAUGAGGGGGUCAGAACAGAAGCUUGCUUUGUCUGCCCCAUACAUCGACCUGGUAUUGCACUGUCUCCAGAAACGGUGUAUCUCCC
ensembl:snRNA U2 U2 spliceosomal RNA